CUGGUUCUUGGACUCCUGAAGGGAGCAGGACUAUCAUAAGGACCAUGUGCUUGAUACAUCCUCUGAUUGGGUGAAUAACUACUUUGCAUUUGAAUUUGAUGAGCAGGAGAGGGAGUCAUUUCAGUGUUCCUUAAUCCUGGACGGGGAGAAGAAAACCGCGCCAUGGGAGAACCACUAUCACUUGUUGGGGUAACAUAUCCUUGCUGAGCCUGGUUACCAGCAGCACUCCUUUUCUUGUUAGCAGAAAAUGCAGCCAUAGGAUCUGUGUAAAAAUCAAACCUUGGAAUUGCACGGGACUCCUCCUGUGCAGGCAGAGCGGCAGGGCUCUCCAGUAGUGGAUUAGCAAGGAAACCAGAAACUGCUGGGUUUUCAAAAUUGCUAGAAGCUUCAGCCUGAGCAGCUAUUGUUCGCAUUGCUUUCAAUCUUUCCCUCCUCCUUUCUGAAUCCUCCAUUUAACCAGCUAAAAAGAGCUCUAAUCGAAACACGAAUUUGAGUUGAUUACUUCUGCGAUUUCUCCCUGUCGCUUGUUUCAGUCGUAGAAAUUGAGAAUGGGAUGGAACGCG
rnacentral:misc_RNA from 1 species